rnacentral:rRNA from 1 species
AACGAACGCUGGCGGCGUGCUUAACACAUGCAAGUCGAACGCGAAAGGGACUUCGGUCCUGAGUAGAGUGGCGCACGGGUGAGUAACGCGUAAGUAAUCUACCCCUGUAUUCGGAAUAACCCACCGAAAGGUGAGCUAAUACCGGAUACGUUUAUCUUGAUGCGAAUGAUGAUGAAGAAAGGUGGCCUCUUCAUGAAAGCUACUGUACAGGGACGAGCUUGCGUACCAUUAGCUAGUUGGUAGGGUAAUGGCCUACCAAGGCGACGAUGGUUGGCGGUUCAGAGAGGAUGAUCCGCAACACUGGAACUGGAACACGGACCAGACUCCUACGGGAGGCAGCAGUGAGGAAUAUUGCGCAAUGGGGGCAACCCUGACGCAGCGACGCCGCGUGGAUGAUGAAGGCCCUUGGGUCGUAAAAUCCUGUCAGAUGGAAAGAAAUGUAUAGCAGCUAAUAUCUGUUAUAUUUGACGGUACCAUCAAAGGAAGCACCGGCUAACUCCGUGCCAGCAGCCGCCGUAA